GACGAACGCUGGCGGCGUGCUUAACACAUGCAAGUCGAACGGAAAGGCCCUGCUUUUGUGGGGUGCUCGAGUGGCGAACGGGUGAGUAACACGUGAGUAACCUGCCCUUGACUUUGGGAUAACUUCAGGAAACUGGGGCUAAUACCGGAUAGGAGCUCCUGCUGCAUGGUGGGGGUUGGAAAGUUUCGGCGGUUGGGGAUGGACUCGCGGCUUAUCAGCUUGUUGGUGGGGUAGUGGCUUACCAAGGCUUUGACGGGUAGCCGGCCUGAGAGGGUGACCGGACACAUUAGGACUGAGAUACGGCCCAGACUCCUACGGGAGGCAGCAGUGGAGAAUAUUGCACAAUGGGCGGAAGCCUGAUGCAGCAAAGCAGCGUGCGGGAUGACGGCCUUCGGGUUGUAAACCGAUUUCGCCUGUGACGAAGCGUGAGUGACGGUAAUGGGUAAAGAAGCACCGGCUAACUACGUG
rnacentral:rRNA from 1 species